rnacentral:lncRNA from 1 species
UGUGUCUGCUCCUCUUCCCUUGGGAUCAGGGAAGAUAAGUGAAGAAACUGAGUGUCCUUGAUCUCGAGAUACUGUCAGACUAUCAUUGUAUACCUGAAAAAGGAAAUUUAAGAGGACCUCAUCCAGGAUAUCACAUUACAUUUAGUCAUCAAGUGUCUCUAAGACUCGUCUUGGUUACAGCAGUUCCUCAGACUUUCCUUCCUUUUGCUGACCUUGAUAGUUUUGAGGAGUAUGGGUAAGUAUUUUGAAGGAUGCCCCUCUAUUAGAAUUUGUGUGAACUUUUUCUUAUGAUUAGACUGUGUUAUGGAUUUUGGGGAGGAAGACUACAGAGGUAAAGUGCCAUUCUUAUCACAUCAUUUCAAAGGUACCCAC